CUGGUGGCCAUUGCGAGGAGCCCCAAUUCGAUCUCACUCCGAACUCGGCCGUUAAACUCCUCAGCGCCGAUGGUACUAUGUCUCAAGACCUGGGAGAGUAGGUCGCUGCCAGGC
rnacentral:rRNA from 15 species